AACGAACGCUGGCGGCAUGCCUAACACAUGCAAGUCGAACGAGACCUUCGGGUCUAGUGGCGCACGGGUGCGUAACGCGUGGGAACCUGCCCUUAGGUUCGGAAUAACUCCCCGAAAGGGGUGCUAAUACCGGAUAAUGUCUUCGGACCAAAGAUUUAUCGCCUUUGGAUGGGCCCGCGUUGGAUUAGCUAGUUGGUAGGGUAAAAGCCUACCAAGGCGACGAUCCAUAGCUGGUCUGAGAGGAUGAUCAGCCACACUGGGACUGAGACACGGCCCAGACUCCUGCGGGGGGCGGCAGGGGGGAAUAUUGGACAAGGGGCGAAAGCCUGAUCCAGCAAGGCCGGGGGAGUGAUGAAGGCUUUGGGGUGGUAAAGCUCUUUUACCCGGGAUGAAAAGGACAGUACCGGGAGAAUAAGCCCCGGCCAACUCCGU
rnacentral:rRNA from 1 species